GCAUUGAAAAAUGGAUGCAGCAUUGUGUGAAGUCUACUGGAUUGCUGGGCACUAAAAAGAUGGAUGGGCAUCAAUCACCUUCUUGGAGGCGUCAUUUUGAGGUUUUGGCACUGCUUCCACUUUGUUCCUUCUCCAGCCAGCUUUGACGGUUCAGGCAACGACCAGAGGUGUCGUUUCAGAGUUUCGGACCCUCACCUCUUUGUCAUUGGUAAAGAACCUGUUGGUUACGGAAUGUGCAUUGCCAUGAAACAAGGAGGCACGUGUGUGUGUGUGUGUGUGUGUGUCCUCAAUGCUUCGCCAUGGUGUUGUUGUAGAGGCAGGGUUCAUGUAUUUGUAUCAGCUUGAUGCUUCAAUAAAUAGCCGGUUUCCAAGCAAAAAAAGUGAAGCAUGCCCAGAUAUUGUAAAGCAUGCACUGAUAUACAAAUCCAAUUAGUGAAUGAAGUUGAUCUUGAACAGUGGACUUAAAACCCUCCUUAUUUUAUCUUGUGGAUUUUAUAGCAUUUGUGGCCACAUUGGCAGUGAUCUAGGGUGAUAAUGCAGCUGGGGCUGCACAUAUUAGUACAGGAGAAAUUAGUCGCUGCAUUUCACAGGAAAAAGACAUGUUCACUGGAUCACGGAUCUCAGUGCUUUAUAGCAUACUUUCUGUAGUUACUGUAAAUUUUAAAUGCUCAUCAGUUGGUUUACCAUAUGUUCUCGAAUGGUGAUGGCUUUCAUAUAGAAUGGCACAAGUGUUUUACACAAGCUUUUCAUGAAUAUAUGAAUUUGUCAGCAGAUUGCUGCAAGGAGCACAAUGGAUUAACAGAUAAAUGAAAUAAGAUUAACAUGAUGACAUUCUGAGAUACCUCUUUACACAUAACAUUAUAACAGAAGACGGAGCGAACUGAAUUCAAGCUAUUACACAAGAUUCUGGUAUUAUGUCAUACGGAGACGUAGAAGGGAACAGUUAUUAAGCCCACUUCUAGUAGUAAGAAAGACUUCACGAAAUUGUCGAUCAUGAAGUUCCUCACAGGCUUUACAUCCACUGCAUCAGGUGAUAUGAGCCAAGUGUGUGCAACUGUACGUACAUUUCUCCACUCAAUUGCUGUUUGCACCUAAUGAUUGAAGUGAAAAAAUAUAUAUAGCCAUCAAUCCCUCUGGAGUAGCACACGAAAAAUCAAUCUGCUACAUACACUAGAUUUUCUCUAAUACAGUAAAGCUAGUGUAUUAUGUAUAGAAGAGAGUUCUGCAAGCGCAGUUACAACGCCAGCAAUAGGCACGGCAGACAACCCCCCAAAAAACAAAAAAUAUAUUACAGUAUACUGAUUUAAGUUUACAUGGUACUCAUUUGUCACAGCAUAUUCUGUGGCCGUACAAGCAGUGCGCUAGACCAGGGUUUCAAGCUUGUGCUAAUAUGACCACGGCAUGCUGCCAAUUCAGAUAUUCAUCACAAACAUCAGACCGUUGCAGCGAAGGAUGACAGCAUUUGCCUGCGCCUGGCAGCAUACGAGAACACAAGAUACUGAUGCCUGAAGAACUAUGCAACAACUGAGCAAAAGACAAAGAGUUGCAAAAUCACUUCUUUACCAGACAGACAAUUCCUAUAUGCGUACACAGCAAAACUCGUUGGAAAAGAAUAAAUACAAUCAACAUUCAACUAUACUUGGAUAUCACACAAGCUGGCGAAGUACGACCCGUUAAACUGCAGCAGGGAACCCAAAUGGAAGGAUAAUUCAAACAAGAUCUUUCGAUAGCUUUGGUGACACGACUAUAGAUUGAAGGUCAGUGCCUGCGGCUGGUAGCAGGUGCUGGUCCAGGUCAUCCAUAUCACUGUCCCCAUUAAGGGAUGAACCUGAUGAAUCCACAUCAUCAUCUAGCAGAUAAUCAAAAACAGCUAAAUGUUAGUACGUAGAUUUUUUGGUAAGAAAGAGAGGAAGAAUGAGAGUAAUUAGUCAAUACAUAAGUUCGAAAGGAAAAUCUAGCUAUUAGAACAAGUGACACACCGUCUAUAAACUCUCUUCCAUUCUGGACAAGUAUCAGCUUUCAGUGAAAAUGCCAAGUGGCUUAAAAGAGUGUAGUACUAAAUCAGUAGAAAUCAAAAAUUUCUCAUGUUGUUCCCUCUACAGCUCUACUUCAUCUAAGUUUCCCUAACAAGAGAAACAUCACGACUCAUUCUCUUUUCAAGAUGAAUAUGUAAAUACGAUCAGCACACUGAAGAAUAUAGCUCACCAAAUGGACAGGGGAGUGUUUUUCUUUUAUGGAAAAUGGGAGGGCGGAAGACAAUGUACAACACAAAGCCAAACAGAUUUACUGCGGAGAUGGCAUUGCACAUGACCGGAAUGUCCUCUUAUUAUUUCUUACUAAGAGAUUUCUGAGGCAUGCAUCAUUCAAAACAUACAACAAAUAGUAUAACACUCAAAUGGCUGUUUACAGUUUGAAGCAUACAGGUCAUUUAGAAUGUGAACUACAACUACACAACAAGCUGUAGCUAACAACUGCAUGCAAUUUACUCAAAAUUAUGAUAGACAGCUAUCUUCCCAAAUUAUAAGCAAAAUGCAGGCACUAGAAGCAGACUCACCAGAGAAUGCAGGAUGGGUUGCUCCGUGAGUAACAGUAGAGACUUGAAUGCUUUUUGGUAGGAGGCGAUUGAAAAAGUAACCUAAGAAUUUCACAAAAUACAAUCAGUCACCUAUCGUUCCGAGCAAGUCAGGAAGAGAAGACAUAAAACUUGUAAUACUGACCCACUCUUGCUAGCCGAUUUACCCAUCCAGGGGCUGGUUUUUUGGUUAUGUUCUUACAGACAUCAUCCGUAAAAUGGUUGCAGUUCUUUGAAAUCAGAUGAUAUGUAUUCCCAUUGUACUUUCCUGCAAGAGUUUGAAUGAACGAGCGGAACUCUGCCCUAGACAUCUCAGUUGUACCCAUCCAUACAGACCUUCUAUAGACAUAGCCAGGGCAACGUUUUGGUUCAACCUCAAAAACCCCACUGGUUGAGAGAUCAUGGGCUCCAAAAGCAUAUUCCAAACCAUGAACUGUAGAUUUCAGUUACAACAAAACAAUGAGUUAAAGCUCACACCUCUAGAGAGAAUCCACAAAAUGCAUGUCUGGAAAAAAAACAAAAAAAGCUGCUACACAUAAAAGCAUGAGCCAAUAGCCCAACGUGCAGUAAAUAUUUUGACAUAACUAGCAACCUCAGUCCAUAAAAUGUAGACCGCUACCAAUGAACAUAUCAUGUAUGACUAGCACUCUACCAUUUUCAUUAGCUGCAAACAUUCAGUUAUGAUGCCAGCUCAAUGUCAAAGCUAAAAGAAGCGCUAGGCAUUAAUUGUGUGUUUUGCCACCACCUUGCGCUUUUCUGAAGCACACACUUGAGCGCAAUUAUGCCGCGCACAUUAAGUGCUAGGUGUUUCGCUACUGCCUAGAGCCUAGGCGCGCAUUUUUUUUAACUAUGCUCGAUAUCCACCUGUUCUUCAAACAAGAACAUGACUGCAACAUCACACACAAACUCUGCCGAGAGAUUUGCCACCAACCCUGUCAAUCAAUAGAUAAACCCAUACAUCGUUAUAAUUCACGACCAUUCUUCAAUUUUUAGUUUUCUUCUGCAUCCUACAACUUCCCCAUAGAACUGAAAACUACUUUGCCCUGACAGCUGGUUUAAGCUGCUUGUUUACUAAUUACUGGUCACCAGAAAUUCAGGCCACGAUCAGUCCAUCACCCGUCAAUUCUUCCCUUGCACUACUACCCUGUUAUCCUGCCUCUUUCCAAGCACUAACCUACAGGACUUACGGCAGCGUCCCUGUACAAAGCUCAACAAAGCAACUACCAACAUACGUACAGUACAGCGUCCCUGUAGGUACUAGCUAGAACCAAAUCAAGCUCCAGCGAGUAGGAAGGGAGAGGGCGGAGAGUCAGAACCUUCGAUCCCGGAGUGGAAGAUGCCGAGGCCGAACCAGUAGAGGUAGUCGUUUAUGGGCGUCAGGUCGUACACGUUGAGGACCACCGCCGCGCCGCCGCCGCCGCCGUUCUGUGCCGCCAUGCGAACCCCGCUGGCGCUGCAGAUCCCUUCAGCGGCGCUGCAUUAGCGUCCACCCGCCGGAUCAGUGCCUGGGGGAACCCAUGCGGAGCCGGAAUUUGGUCCGCUCCGGUUCGAUUUUGCUUGGUUCUGGGCUCGGAGAGGGGAGGGGAAAGCGUGGUUAACGUCGGGGAUUAUCUAGGGGAGUACCACCCCUCCUGUCUCUCGAUGGUCUUAGCCAUCCGUUACGCGCUGCAGUUGAUGGUGGAUUCUUUAGGGUGGCCGUCGUGUGGGACCGUCUGCGGGCGGGUCCGCAUUGUCAUGGAUGCAGCUGGGUUGUUCUGCGGGUGGGGGAAGGUUCAGUUAUGCUUGGUGAUGGAGAGAGGUGUCUGAUAGUGGGGAGUCACGACUCGCAGCCCGCAAAGGCGCGCCCACGGGACGGGCGGGCUACGUCGGGCUCGUGGGUCCCAGCGGGAAGAGGAAUGGUGGCUUUGACUCUUCUGGGAAGAGAAGGCUUGGCCGCUUCUCGUCCGACACCGUUUACCAGCAAUCCAGCGAAGCUGGUUCCACCUGGGACUUGGAGUUUCCUGCGUUCUCCGAUGGUGCAUCCAAUGGACGCUGCUUCGGUGUCUUUGAGACCCAAAGGUAGGUGUCUUAAGGCAUCAAAGUUAGUCCAGCAUGAUGCACUUUUUGAGGCUAGUAAGAGCUUGUUUGGGACUGCUAUGCUCCUUAUAAUUCAGCUCCGCUCCAGAAAACACAAGCCAAACGGGGUAGUUUCACGGUAUGCCGCUCUGCAAAAAAACUAGAAUCCAAGGUACAACUCUCAGUUUUUUUAUGAAGCUCUUCAGGGGGUGCUCCAAAAAACUCUAGAAGCCGGAGUUAGGUGAAAUUUACCCACCACUGCCACCAGUAAGUGGAUACCCCUUCGUUUCUUCCCCCUCAACCAAUCAAAUAGAUCAUUUCCAUCAAAUUUCUCAUUCUUGAAGCUGGAGCUAGAUGGCAGCCAAACAUUCUCUUUGGUAGUACUACAACUUCUAGAUGAAACUGCUCCAAAGUGAAUUUAGUGGAGCGAAACCGAUUUUUGUGAAGCGGAGCAGUCCCAAACAGGCCCUAAAUGUCUCAAUCUUUACAGGAGACUAUACUGAAUACUUCUUCAACAGGAACUCUCAAGACGUACUUCUUAGGGUUAAGCUUCAUGCGGAAUUUUUUGAGGUUAGCAAACGUUUCUGCAGGAUUUGCCAUAUAUCCUCCUUCUUUCGGAUCUUGAUUACUCCUCCUUUCAGAUUUUAAUUACCACGUUGUCGACAUAGACCUGUAUGUUUCUUUUGAUCUCUGGUAAGUGGCGUCCGUGUUUUUCAAGCCGAAGGGCAUAGAGGGGCGCCGAAAGGGGUGACGACGUCUUGAAAUUCCGCCACCACAACCAACGCAUCGACAUGUUGGAUGCUUUCUUGAUCCCACUGACAGGCGUACUGGAUGUUGCCAUUCACCGUGGAUGACUUUGCUAGAGUCUGUCAUCUUGAACUAGUGGUAGAUCAUAGUGGGUGUUGAACCGGUAUGGGCCCCAGCCCAACUGUACCUAUCUCUUAGGCCCAAGCCCAUGAGAAAUGUUGACCUAGAAGGGAAGCUCCUCCUCCUAUGUUCUGUGAGAGCCGCUACACACCAAGAAAGACACAGCAGCAGCUGCUCCUGGUAUGCUACUCCUCCAAGUUCAACAUGAUAUCAGACCAGGCUGCAGCGGCAGCGGCAGUGCCGGUGGUGUAGUCCGGCGAGGAGGAGCUGCUGGGGCGAGCGACGGCGAGCUAGGCGCAGCGGCUGCAGCUGGUGGCGGAGUGCAGCGAGGCGGCGCGACCGGCUCGGGAGAGGAGGUUGUUAUGCGCGCAUGCUGGAGGUGCUGCUGCUGCUGCGUGAGGCAGCGAGAGAGAGAUUGAGGGGAAGAAAGAAAAGGAAGGGCAAGUCACGCAUCUCACCUAACAUGGCAGCAACGCUGUCAGGUCCACCGCGAGAAGCUGUAGUUUGUCUCCAAGUCCCUUUCUACUCUCGGCUGUUGAUUGCUACGGGUUGGUAAAGGAAGGAGAGGUGACGAACUGCUGCUGGUGAGAAGAGGAGAAGAGGAGUGCUACUACUGCUUGCAGGUGCUGAAAGUCUUGCUGUUUUUGGUCUGCUGCUGAUUGAAAGGGAAAAUGACGGAGGAAGCACUGGCGGCUGCAAUGGACAAGCUUGCGGACAUCAUGGCCGCGAAGAUGGUGGCUGCCGGUGAGAAGGCACCUGCUGAUGUGGGCUCGAGCGCUGUGCAGGCAGAGAUGGUGCAGAAGAUUGAGCUGGCUCCAAACAAGUUGAAGUUAGAAGGUGUAGAGAACUACCUGAGGUGGUCGAGGAGAGGUAAACUCAUCCUCAGAACUAAGUCACUGGAAGACUAUGCUCUUGGUGAGGUGAAGGAACCAGAAGACAAGAGGGGAGCCUCAUGGAAGAAAUGGAAUGCCACGGAUAUUUUGGUGUUGAAUUGGCUGCUGAGUUCUCUAUCCCCUUCUGUUGCUGCUUCGGUGGAGGACCUCCCUACUGCUGCUGAGGUAUGGGCAGCGUUAGCUAGUAUGUACUCAGGGAAGGGAAAUGUCAUGUUGGUCUCCAAAAUUGAAGACACUGUGCAUGAUCUCACUCAAGGUGAUAGGACUGUAAUGAUGUAUGUUGAAGAGCUGAAACAUCUUUGGGCUGAUUUAGACUAUCUUGCACCUCUUGUGUUGCCACAUGUUGAGUGUGCAGUGAUAGCUAGAAAGUGGGUUGAGGAUAGCGUGUCCUCAAGUUUCUGAAGGGGCUGGACUCCAUGUUUGAGAAUAGAAGGGCUAUCUUAAUGCAACAAGCUGAGUUGCCGUCACUAAGAGAUGCCAUUGCUGCUAUAGCACAGGAGGAGACUAGACUGAAAGCUGUGGAGCGGUCAAAGGUGGCUUCCAGACCUGCUUAUCACAUAAUGAAUAGGCCUGAGACAAG
rnacentral:lncRNA from 1 species